rnacentral:sRNA from 1 species
GGACCGCCGAGAAUGGAGCCUACGCGCUCU